rnacentral:tRNA from 1 species
GGGUUGUUAGCUCAGUCGGUAGAGCAGUUGACUCUUAAUCAAUUUGUCGUGGGUUCGAUCCCCCCACAACCCACCA